rnacentral:rRNA from 1 species
AGUGAACGCUGGCGGUAGGCCUAACACAUGCAAGUCGAACGGCAGCACAGUAAGAGCUUGCUCUUACGGGUGGCGAGUGGCGGACGGGUGAGGCAUACAUCGGAAUCUACUUUUUCGUGGGGGAUAACGUAGGGAAACUUACGCUAAUACCGCAUACGACCUACGGGUGAAAGCAGGGGAUCUUCGGACCUUGCGCGAUUGAAUGAGCCGAUGUCGGAUUAGCUAGUUGGCGGGGUAAAGGCCCACCAAGGCGACGAUCCGUAGCUGGUCUGAGAGGAUGAUCAGCCACACUGGAACUGAGACACGGUCCAGACUCCUACGGGAGGCAGCAGUGGGGAAUAUUGGACAAUGGGCGCAAGCCUGAUCCAGCCAUACCGCGUGGGUGAAGAAGGCCUUCGGGUUGUAAAGCCCUUUUGUUGGGAAAGAAAAGCAGCAGGUGAAUACCCCGCUGUUCUGACGGUACCCAAAGAAUAAGCACCGGCUAACUUCGUG